AACGCACAUUGCGCCCUUCGGUAUUCCGUUGGGCAUGCCUGUUCGAGCGUCAUUUAAAUAUUCAAGCUCAGCUUGGUGUUGGGCGUUUGUCCCCCCCUCCGGGGGGACUCGCCUCAAAUGCAUUGGCGGCCGGUAUGUUGGCUUCGAGCGCAGUAGAAACGCGCCUGGCGUCUUGACAUACGGGUCCUCCACAAGCCCUUCUUUUAAUCUUGACCUCGGAUCAGGUAGGGAUACCCGCUGAACUUAA
rnacentral:misc_RNA from 1 species